AUUGAACGCUGGCGGCAUGCCUUACACAUGCAAGUCGAACGGCAGCGGGGGAGAAGCUUGCUUUUCCUGCCGGCGAGUGGCGAACGGGUGAGUAAUACAUCGGAACGUGCCCUGUAGAGGGGGAUAACUAGUCGAAAGAUUAGCUAAUACCGCAUACGACCUGAGGGUGAAAGUGGGGGACCGCAAGGCCUCAUGCUAUAGGAGGGGCCGAUGUUUGAUGAGCUAGUUGGUGGGGUAAAGGCCAACCAAGCCGACGAUCAGUAGCUGGUCUGAGAGGACGACCAGCCACACUGGGACUGAGACACGGCCCAGACUCCUACGGGAGGCAGCAGUGGGGAAUUUUGGACAAUGGGCGAAAGCCUGAUCCAGCAAUGCCGCGUGUGUGAAGAAGGCCUUCGGGUUGUAAAGCACUUUUGUCCGGAAAGAAAUGGCUCUGGUUAAUACCUGGGGUCGAUGACGGUACCGGAAGAAUAAGGACCGGCUAACUACGUGCCAGCCGCCGCCGUAA
rnacentral:rRNA from 1 species